rnacentral:lncRNA from 1 species
CAAAAUCCUUUUAUAUGUAUCCGUCUAAUCCUUGAGGUGGGUAUGAGCCUCUUUUGGCGGUCGGCAAGGAUGGGAAAGAUGACAUGAUUUCACGACUCAUAGAGAAAGUGAUGGAGCUGUAGCUUGAAUUCUUUUACUUCAAAUCCACAAUGCCAUGCCUCGCUCCAGUGAAGGACGGACUGCUGUUCUGUCUCCUAAAACGCACACAGCUCGCCUGAGCUUCAAAUGUGAGAACACAUUCCAGCUGCAGGAUCAGAGGACUUUUCCUACAGCCCAUAAAUGCCUGCAGCUCUAUCGGAUUUGCAAAUCUGCAAAAGAGAGCACAUCCUAUUGUUCCCGGUUUUGAGUUUUUUUAAUAGUAUGUCUUGUAAAAUGCUGGUUGCUGGUGGACAGGGGUGUUUUACAGAUAGGUGUGACUCAGGAGGGGAAAUGGGUGGGCAGAGACAGCCACAAGGAAUUCCACACAUGAAGGAAAUGCUCCCACUUGUGUUUUCUAUUUGUGUUUUAAAUUUGGGGAGCGACUCACAGGCACUUAGCAAAAGUAACUAAUUAUAUUAACCUUAUCGGUAAUGAGGUUUCCUGGCCUCUCGUCAGACACUCAGCUCACUGGCUGGUAUUUAAUUGGGAGCCUGGUGGCCAGUGAAAACAGUGUGGGAUGAGUCACACUUUAACAAGUUUUUAUAGUACAGCAAC